GGUGAUUUUAAGAUCUUGAAGUGGGUGACCCUUUAUUUCUCAGGUAACGUCUCUUCCGUGGCUUUUAUAGCGAUGGUUUCGAAAAAUUUGAUCAUUAACUACAAUCAAAGGAUCAUCACUCGCAGGAAUGAAUCGAACCGAAGGAUAUCAAAACUUUAGGCUUUAAUUUUAUGUAAACUUUUAGCUAGAAGUUAGAAAACUUCAAUAAAUGUGUGAUAUUUUUCAA